rnacentral:rRNA from 1 species
CCUACGGGGGGCUGCAGUGGGGAAUAUUGGACAAUGGGGGGAACCCUGAUCCAGCCAUGCCGCGUGUGUGAAGAAGGCCCUCGGGUUGUAAAGCACUUUCAGUGAGGAAGAACGCCUGGUGGUUAAUACCCAUCAGGAAAGACAUCACUCACAGAAGAAGCACCGGCUAACUCCGUGCCAGCAGCCGCGGUAAUACGGAGGGUGCGAGCGUUAAUCGGAAUUACUGGGCGUAAAGCGCGCGUAGGUGGCUUGAUAAGCCGGUUGUGAAAGCCCCGGGCUCAACCUGGGAACGGCAUCCGGAACUGUCAAGCUAGAGUGCAGGAGAGGAAGGUAGAAUUCCCGGUGUAGCGGUGAAAUGCGUAGAGCUCGGGAGGAAUACCAGUGGCGAAGGCGGCCUUCUGGACUGACACUGACACUGAGGUGCGAAAGCGUGGGUAGCAAACAGGAUUAGAUACCCCUGUAGUC